CGACAUGAGCGUGAGUAAUAAAUGACAGAAUUUUCAUUUUUGGUGAACUAACCCUUUAAAGUUCACCAAAAAAAUAUUUGGGUGAACUGUUCCUUUAAAAGACGCAAUCAGUCUCGAUUAAAUGCGAGACAUGUUGACUGUUAAAACGUCUUUUUUUGUUGUUUUUUUGUUUUUUUUUGUUUAGUAGACCGGUCACCUUCAAAAAAUAUAAAUCUGUCGACACAAGUAAAAACGUAUUUAUGUCAUUUUUCUUUACGUCAUUUAUUUUUCCCUGUGACAUUCAACCUUGAAUGAAAAUGUCAUCGGAUGCCUGCUCUCGUCCAAUCACGCACCUGACUGAAGCAGCGCGCGCAGCGACUAUGACGGAAAUGGCGCGCUUUUCUGAGCAGCUCUCCACUGGGGAAUACACGACCUCAAGAAGCUCGAAAGAAACCCAGAAAAAAGGACUCAAGUCUUCGACUGGAAGAUCCAUCUUCAAGGAAGCAAAUCCCACCGAAGAACCCCAGAGGAAGGACACAAGUCCAAGACCGAGACAUCCAUCUUCAAAGAAACAAAUGGCACCUGGAAUUGGAGUUUCCCCCAUUACAGAAGACAUCAUUCAAUCUGACGAUACAGAAUGGAAGAAUUUAUAUAAAUAUUUUGCUCACACAUCUCACCAAUAUUAGGUACAGUAAAGUACACAAUCUUUCAUUCAUUUUCAGACACAGCGGUGUUCUUUAGUGUGCCACAAGAUGGAGCCGAAACCCUCAAGACUGCAAGAACACAGACACGGAUCAGUGUUUCUCGACGGGUCUGUAAUGAAUAACGCAAUGGUCAUUGCAAGCCAUAAAAUACUACUACAUAUAUAAAAGUUCUUAAUGUCAUUGAUGCUUCCAUUCAAAACAUUCAUGAAACAUUUCCAUUGCACAAAAGGUUCUUUAGAUUUUUUUAAAUGUUUUUAACACUAAGAAAAAAUGGUUCUUUUAAGAACUGAUCACUGAAAGGUUCCUUCGGGAACCAGAAAUGAUUCUUCAAUGGCAUCACUGAGAAAACACCCUUUUGAAAGCUUUUUUUAAAGGGUUAGUUCACCCAAAAAUGAAAAUAAUG